AGCUGGGUGUGGUGGUGCAUGCCUAUAAUCCCAGCUACUGGGGAGGCUGAGGCAGGAGAAUCACUUGAACCUGGGAGGUGGAGGUUACAGUGAGCCGAGAUCAUACCAUUGCACUCCAGCCUGGUGUGCAAAAAAAAAAAAAAAAAAAAAAAAAAGAUAAAAAAAGAAAAGAAAGAUAAGUCUUUGGAGUUGUUUGAAAGAAAAACAUGAACACAAAGAACAGAAGUAAUUAUUGAAGGUCAUCAUUUCAUCAAAUGUGUCUGCACUGAGAGCAUUAUUUUUAGUGGCUAACCACGUUGCUAAAGCUAAGAAUCCCUUUACUAUUGGUGAAGAGUUGAUGCUGCCUGCUCCUGAGGACAUCUGUCAUAAACUUUUAGGAGAGGCUGCAGUUCAAAAGGUGGCACAUGUUGCUCUUUUGUCUAGCAACAUGACUAGAUGAUUUGAUGAAAUAGCAGAGGAUAUUGAGGCACAAUUGUUAGAAAGGGUUAAUGAGUCACCUUGGUGCACAAUCCAGGCUGACGAGUCUACUGAUGUUGACAACAAAGCAACAAUGCUUGUCUUUGUGUGAUAUACUGUUUCAGAAGGAUGGGCGUGAGAAUAUAUUAUGUGCACUUUCAUUGCCAAACGACACCACAGCUGUAGAAUCAUUCAAGUCUUUGAAUGAUUACAUAUCAGGAAAAAUUAUUUGGUAAUUUUGUGUUGGUAUAUGCAUGAAUGGAGUGGCUGCCAUGAGUGAAUGGCUUUUUGGUUUCAAUACUUGGGUCAAAGAGGUCACUUCUGAAUGUGAGUCUAUGCACUGUGUCAUCCAUAUGGAAUACUGGCUACCUGAAAAUGCCACAUGGACUAAAUGCUGUUUUGGAGGAUGUGAUUAAAAUUACCAGACACAUUAAAGUACAUGCCCUUAACUCACAUCUGUUUGUACAGCUCUGUGAAGAACUGGACACAAAGCACACACAUCCUCUUUAUAGACAGAAAUAAGGUGGCUUUUUAAAGGUAGAUCACUGGCUAGAGCUUUUGAGUUACAAGAGCCAUUUCAGAGAUUUCUUUUAUAAAAACAGUCACCACUGGCAGCACAUUUCAGUGACACAGAUUGGGUCACAAAACUGCUUACUUGUGUGACCUAUUUAACCUGCUCAACAAACACAAUCUGUCACUUCAGAGGAAAACAACUGUGUUCAAGUUGGCAGAUAAAGUGGCUACAUUCAAUUCCAAACUGGAAUUAUGGGGGUGACAAGUGAACACUGGGAUCUUUGUCAUAUUUCAAACAUUAGCGGAAAUUUUGAAAAAGACUGAGCCAGGGCUUUCUUUCUCCCAGCUGGUGCAUGAUCACCUAUCUCAGCUUUCAAAAGAGUUUGAGCAUUACUCCCCAACCACAAAAGACCCCAGAACUAAGAAGGAAUGGAUCCGUGCUCCAUCUGUGAAUAAGCCAGCAAAUUUCAGAACAAAAGAAUUUCCUAAAGGAGUAGCAAUAAAAGGGAAGAUCAAGGUGGACAAUAGAGGAAGAAAAGCAAGAGAUUGAGAGGUGGGACGAAACACUGGCGUCACAAGUAGACAGAAAUAAAUUGCAGAGUCUCUACUGAAUAAGCCUCUGGAGAUGGCAAUUUAAUAAUAACAUG
rnacentral:lncRNA from 10 species